rnacentral:tRNA from 1 species
AAAAAAUUAGUUAAAUUUAAAUAACAUUAGAUUGUCAAUCUAAAAUUAAUAUAAAUUAAAUAUUA